rnacentral:rRNA from 1 species
GAUGAACGCUGGCGGCGUGCCUAACACAUGCAGGUCGAACGGAGAUUACGGACGGAAGUUUUCGGAUGGAAGCCUGUAAUUCUUAGUGGCGGACGGGUGAGUAACGCGUGGGCAACCUGCCCUAUACAGGGGGAUAGCAGCUGGAAACGGCUGGUAAGACCGCAUAAGUCGGUUAAAUCGCAUGAUUUGAUCGGGAAAUGAGCAAUCAGGUAUAGGAUGGGCCCGCGUCCGAUUAGCCAGUUGGCAGGGUAAAAGCCUACCAAAGCGACGAUCGGUAGCCGGACUGAGAGGUCGGACGGCCACAUUGGGGCUGAGACACGGCCCAAACUCCUACGGGAGGCAGCAGUGGGGGAUAUUGCACAAUGGAGGAAACUCUGAUGCAGCGACGCCGCGUGAGUGAAGAAGUAUUUCGGUAUGUAAAGCUCUAUCAGCAGGGAAGAUGAUGACGGUACCUGACUAAGAAGCCCCGGCUAACUACGUG